CAUGCAGUCGAGCGGAACGAGUUAUCUGAACCUUCGGGGAACGAUAACGGCGUCGAGCGGCGGACGGGUGAGUAAUGCCUAGGAAAUUGCCCUGAUGUGGGGGAUAACCAUUGGAAACGAUGGCUAAUACCGCAUAAUGCCUACGGGCCAAAGAGGGGGACCUUCGGGCCUCUCGCGUCAGGAUAUGCCUAGGUGGGAUUAGCUAGUUGGUGAGGUAAGGGCUCACCAAGGCGACGAUCCCUAGCUGGUCUGAGAGGAUGAUCAGCCACACUGGAACUGAGACACGGUCCAGACUCCUACGGGAGGCAGCAGUGGGGAAUAUUGCACAAUGGGCGCAAGCCUGAUGCAGCCAUGCCGCGUGUGUGAAGAAGGCCUUCGGGUUGUAAAGCACUUUCAGUCGUGAGGAAGGUAGUGUAGUUAAUAGCUGCAUUAUUUGACGUUAGCGACAGAAGAAGCACCGGCUAACUCCGUGCCAGCAGCCGCGGUAAUACGGAGGGUGCGAGCGUUAAUCGGAAUUACUGGGCGUAAAGCGCAUGCAGGUGGUUUGUUAAGUCAGAUGUGAAAGCCCGGGGCUCAACCUCGGAAUUGCAUUUGAAACUGGCAGACUAGAGUACUGUAGAGGGGGGUAGAAUUUCAGGUGUAGCGGUGAAAUGCGUAGAGAUCUGAAGGAAUACCGGUGGCGAAGGCGGCCCCCUGGACAGAUACUGACACUCAGAUGCGAAAGCGU
rnacentral:rRNA from 1 species